GUUCUAAAGAAGGAUAUUAUGGCACUAGAAAAAGUGCAGAGGCGGGCUACAAAAUUAAUAAAAGGAAUGGAACAUAUCGGCUAUGAAGAAAGGUUAACAAAUUUAAACCUAUUUAGUUUAGAAAAAACGUCGCCUGAGAGGGGAUAUGAUAACAUUAUACAAAUAUAUUCGGGGCCAAUACAAACCAUUGUGUGGAAAUCUAUUCACAAACCGGACUUUACAUAGGACAC